GCCAGCAGCAUACCACCCUGCAUUCCACUGCUGCCUUGCUUCUGAAGCUAAGCAGGGUUGGUUCUGGAUGGGAAACCAGAUGCUGCUGGAA
rnacentral:rRNA from 1 species